ensembl:lncRNA
UAUUAUGUAAGUUUAGCUGAUUAAAGUUUAUGACUCUGCACUACAAUAUUAUUUAUUAUUUAAGUUUACAUCAUUAUAAUAUUUAGGGUCAGACUCUACAGUAUUGAGAUUAAGAAAUCAAAUAUUCUGUAAAAUGUAAAUACACUGAACUCAUUUGGAUAUAUUUAAGUGAAACUCUACAAUAUUAUUUGACACAAAUCUAUCUAAAUCAAAAUUUUAGUAAUUUUCAUGCCAAACAUUUACUGGACUGAUUUAAAUAUUAAAAUCACUCCUUUCUAAUCCUCUGCUGUACGUUCAAACCUGAGGCCUGAAAUAGAAACACACAAGUAUCUGAUUGAAGGAACUUCUGCAGAGUCCUGGUUCCAGAACAUGAUGAUAGAAUUAUAGACAAACUUUAACAAAAGCUGCCUGAGAGUUUACAGGUUUUUAUGUUGGAUUUCUUCAGUAAUUUAAUGAGUUAUCAGCAAUAAUCAAGUGUUCAUUUGAUGAACUUCAUUUCCUAAAACAUCCCGAAUUGGAGCUCGUAUCUUUGGCAGCUGUAAAGUUUCUGCUCCUUCAAAGUUCACAACACAAUGAAUGAAUUCCUUUUAGCUGCCAUAAUUGUUAUUAUUGUUAAGAAAUGCAUUUGAUAUGAUUUGUAUAUUUUAUUUUGUCAAGUAAUUAUUUUUAUUUUGUUAACUGCUCAAGGGAAGCACUUUCUGUUUCAUGUUGCAAGGGGGACACUUUUACCUGUGACACAUAUGAUUUGGUUUUUCGAUGUAUUAUAAACUUGUUCAAGACGCACAUCCAGCCGUAAGAAAGGCAUAGCGUCAUACAAGGACUGAAAGGUGACGUUUGCAACGGUAAACUCUUUUUGUUUGAAGGAACAUUCUUCUUUUUGAUCAUUUUUGUGUUUGUGACGAAGCGGACUCAUUCCCUCUUUGCGUAAAUGCGGCUAGCGAGUUCGACGGUGGGUUUGUAUGGAGUUAACUGAAGUCAAUAAACCCGUCAGUGCUACAAGAACCAUGGUCUAAUUCCUGGAGGGAGUGAUAUCCUAAAACACUCUCAGUGCUGGAGAGCGUUUGUGAUGCUGAAGCAGUGACCAGUUUUUCUGUUUCUUCUCUGGAGAUGCACAAUGAGGGACGUCUGCAGCGACUGAGAAAGAGUCUCACCACAUCCUGACAUGAGGAAAAAGACUUUAUUGAAGACUACAAUGAGAAAAACUAUCAGAAGUCUGUAGCUGCUGAAUUCAUGGAUGGAUCAUCUGGUACUAGAGAAGAAGACCAUCAAACAUCCACGUCAGCUGAUGGAGGUCCAAGAGUCUCAUCCAACAACCAACCUACAGUGAAGACCUCGAAUCUGAUUGGACGGCCUCCUAUUCAGCCACGUGUGAACAAAUGUCUCUAAGCUGAUUUGUUUUCUAAAAUAAAUCUAGUUUGUGUUCUAAUCUAUGCCUGUGUGUUUGCUUCUUUACACUGCUGUUAAGAGUUUAGGCUGUUAGAUUGUUCCAGAUAAGACAAGUACAAGAUUCUUCAGAGCCGUUCUACCACGAGCCUGACAGGAAGAACUCCAACAGCUACUGAAUGUUCCUGUGGUCCCCUCAAGGCUACAGGAGGAGCCCUACGAGGACGAGCUGGUCCACCUGAUGGAGGCCAGUCGCUGUGGUUCAAAGCCAACACCGACUACGUGGACUUCUACUGGACCACAUGGAGGCCUUCAAACCGGACCAACAAGUUCAGCGACUCCCCGACUCGUGGGUCUGAGGACGCCGCUGAGCCUCGGUCCAGCUGGCCUCCUGUCUGUGGGUGUUUGAGUGCUGAGAGGUUUGUGGAUGCAUGUGAACGUUCUGUGUUGAAACAGCAGCUUUGGACUCAGUAACGCUGGGAAAAACCAAGAGCUCCUUUAUUUGUGACUUCCACUAAAAAAACUGAUGAAAAUAAGUUUGACAGGGUUCUGACUGAUAACAGAUUGUUAAAUAAUGAAAAUAAUCAUUCAAAUAU